GCCCAGCACUGAAAAAAAAAAAUUAGAAAAAAACAUGUCAUCCUCAGGUCCAGGGAGAGCAGUCAGAGCAGCUGUCUGUCCCCUGAGACUGGGCCUGGGAGGACUCACUGGGAAGAUGCCUGGGGGCUCAUCAAGGGUCGGGGAAUUGCCACCAGUGCAGUCAAGGUCACUCCUUGAUGGCAAACUGAAACCUGUGAGCCAUGUUUUCUGUGACUCUCAGGAAUCCCUUCCACACCUCUGUCCUUAAAACAGGGAAGAGUAAUAAUGUCACUCAGUCCCUUUGUAAUGCUGGGACCACAGUGGUCUUUAGAGGAGAUCUCAUGGCUGCCCUGGGUCACCCCUGCUUCACAUCCCCUUGGUGACCAGUGGUCUCUUCCCACCUGAAUGCUGUCCAGACCCGACUCCUGGGGGCCAAGCCUUCCCCUCCACCCUCCACCAGUGCUCACCAGCUGCCCUGGGGCACGGGAGGCUGUGACCCAGUCUUGGGUAGGGCUUCCCCCCUAGCCAGAGCCGUCCUGACAGCCCCAGGCUGCAGCCCCAGCCUGGAAGUGGCUGCCUGGAACAGAGCAGGAGGUUGCUCCCCAUGGACCCUCUGGUCCCUCCCUUCCUCCUGUUGAAGGAGCAUGUGAGGAAUGGCUUGUCCUUAGCCCUGUGCAGAAGCUUCCAAAGAAACCGCUUCAAAGCCCUGGAGCAGGGGAGGGAGUUGAAAGGUUUGGAGAUGGAGCCAUCUGAGAAGAAAUGGCAGAACUUCAGAGCAGGAACAAGAGAGCAGGAGUUCCAAGCCUCUGUCGAUGGAGUUUCUAGCAAAACAGGAUGUUGGCUGCAGGAGCUGGAACAAAUGGCCCUGGAGUGUGCCUGAGACGCAGCGUCCUUUCUCAGGCCCUGCGUUUACUCAGGACCAAACAGAGUCACCCCCACCCCUCCCUGGAGAAUGGGGCAGAGCAGGGGAU
rnacentral:lncRNA from 1 species